rnacentral:lncRNA from 1 species
UCGAUUGGAUGCCUCUGAUCAAGGUAUCCUCGAGAAUGAGUUUUGGCACGAGCCAAGUUUUUAAGAAAUUCAUAAGCCAUGUUGAUUAUUUGAGUGAAAUGAAUUUAGUUUAUUUAGUUGAAAUGAGUUUGAAACGUUAUGAAUCAUAGUACGAUGAACUAUUUUAAGUUGUCUCCAUUUACUUGACUUUAGAUAUUUUAGAUGAUAUUUGUUUACUCACUGAGUUUAUAUAAACUCACCACCCUCAUUUCCACUCAUU